GACGAACGCUGGCGGCGCGCCUAACACAUGCAAGUCGAACGGAGCUUAGAGAGCUUGCUUUUUAAGCUUAGUGGCGAACGGGUGAGUAACGCGUGAGUAACCUGCCCUAGAGUGGGGGACAACAGUUGGAAACGACUGCUAAUACCGCAUAAGCCCACGGUACCGCAUGAUACUGAGGGAAAAGGAUUUAUUCGCUUUAGGAUGGACUCGCGUCCAAUUAGCUAGUUGGUGAGGUAACGGCCCACCAAGGCGACGAUUGGUAGCCGGACUGAGAGGUUGAACGGCCACAUUGGGACUGAGACACGGCCCAGACUCCUACGGGAGGCAGCAGUGGGGGAUAUUGCACAAUGGGGGAAACCCUGAUGCAGCGACGCCGCGUGGAGGAAGAAGGUUUUCGGAUUGUAAACUCCUGUCGUUAGGGACGAUAAUGACG
rnacentral:rRNA from 1 species